rnacentral:tRNA from 1 species
AUUACUUUGGCAGAGUAAGUGCAAUAAAUUUAGAUUUUAUAAACAAUAUUUAAAAUAUUAAGUAAUA